rnacentral:tRNA from 1 species
GGGCGGUUAGCUCAGCGGUAGAGCAUCUGGUUUACACCCAGAGGGCCGGGGGUUCGAACCCCUCACCGCCCACCA